ACUCACGGAUGUAUUAGAGAGAAAGAACCACACAAAAGAAAAGCACAAGGAAAAGAAAAGAAGAGUUACGGAGCAGAGGAGAGAGGCGAAGUAGAAAUCCAAAUAAGUAAUUGCUGGUGAAUUGUCAUUUCAAUAAUUCAGAAGAUUUUAUAACCCCUUAAGCCAUGGACCGUGCGUCACUGAAAAAUGGACAUCAAUAAGUAUGAUUAUCUGAAGAAAAUAGUGGAAGAGGCAAACGGAACUUCGGCAAAAAGCAUAGACAAAGAGAAUAACAGUAGCAGCGCUGAGAAUGAGAAACAUCAAAAGGGGAGAGAUGGAAGUGAGGAGUAUGCUGAGGAGGAGAAUAGAGAUCCCGUUGGAGCAGCAAAAAGUCUCGCGGCGAGGGUGAAAGAGAGAAGGAUAAGGAGAGAGAUAGGGAUAAGGAAAGGGAAAGGGAAACGUCGUCGAGGCAUCAAAGUAGGUAAUGAGAAUCGAAUAGAGACAGAGAGAGGGAGAAGGAGAGGAGGAGCUGAAGUCGCUCGAGGAUUAAGCGAGAGAGGGAGAAGGAGAUGUUGAGAGAGAGAGAGCACUAUGAAUCAUGGGAAAGCAGGAUGAGGGCUUUAUUAAGUGCAAACAACUUGUCCUUAAAAAGUUGAUAACUACACUGAAGCACACAUUAAGCUAGGGGAGGCGCUCAACAACUAUGUAUUAUUGAAUAUCAAAAUGAAGUCCUUGAAAGAUUAAUAUUCAUGAAAUUUAAUUUUUAUAGUAUUUUGAUGACCAAUACUAAGUUCUCUGAUGGCAGAGUUGGGCGGCUUAGCAAUGCUUUAUCUGUUUAUUCAGGGUGGUCGGAGCUUGGCGCUUAAGACCUGAGGGUUUCUACCCCAAAUUGAGUGAAGGUCUGAAGCUAUUGUACUGAUGCUAAUGUGGAUGCACCCGUUGAUGUUGUGGAAGUUGCUGGAGAAGAAUCCAUAGAAGAAAAUGAUAUUAACCACACUAAUGCUAAUGUGGAUGCAUUAACUAAUGCUGUGAAAGUUGAUGGAGAAGAACAACCCAUGAAACAAUCUGAUGUUGAUUAUGCUGAGGCUGUUUUUUUCAAAAUAUGUACUGACCACAAAAUUAUUAUUCUAAUGAACUUAACUGCCUUCCCAUCCCUAUUUGUUUGUAAAUUAAUAUGUUGGGCCGUGCUUACCAUGGGCCUAGCCCAUCUAGUCCUAAAAAUAAGUCAAUAGUACAUUAAAUCAUUCGCCUUGUUGUGGACACUUGUCGCAAGAUAGAUUUUGAUUGUCUUAGGCUAAACUUGGUGAGGCUGUGUUUGAGUGUAUGUUCUUUGUAGCACGAGUUUAAUCCUAAGUUGGAAAGAGAUUCCUUUA